UUCAUUGACUGUACAGUUAUUUUACAGCAAAAAUAAAUACGUCUGGUAAGGUCUCAAAAAAGUAUCUAGGGCAAAAACAAAGCCAAAUAAUUUAAAUCUGGCCUGCAUCAUUACUAAUGUGUACAUGUUUACAGUCUGAGUGAUAAGUGGGCUAUACCGAGAGUAUAACAGGUUUUACUUUCAUCGUGCAGACUGAAAUUCAUAGUACUAUAUACGAGGGUAGAAUAUUUCUCUAUGUAUCCAGAUAAAACUAAAGGUAAGAUCUGAUUCAAUAUAAUUGUUACUGAUUUAAGAGACUAACUGAAACGUGAACGCAAACAUCAACAACAUGCGGUGGUGUAAUGUAAUAUUAACCGAGCAUCAUGCUGCUUAAACGUGAUAAAUAUUCUGCAUUAGCUUCCACACACUACUAAUUCAACAGUCACAAGUUGAUCAUACUGUAAAUUUAAUGAUGCUCAUUGAGAAUUUGUACUAAAAAUUGACAAAACCUGACAAAACCUGCGGUGAUUGUGACGGUGUCUGUAUUUAACACCUUUGAAAGGAAGGUGUUAAUGCAGGAGACCAGUGUUACACACAACAUGCUGCUGUUAUUGUAGUUAGGAGGAGACAUAGGUACAAUAAAAGAAGACAUAAAGAUCGCGUUUUUCCCCACACAUGUUAAUAUGUUUUAAAUGUCAUGCAUUUAUUUUUUAUUUCGCUUCAAUAAUCGUUAACGAAGAGAAACACCAUGAUUAAACUACAGGCUAUUGUUGCCUUUUUAUAGCCAAAGAAAACUGAACAUCCACAGCCUCUGCAUUCAAAUAUGGCUGACAAAAUGAUAAAUACUUUGCAUUGCACACAGUACAUCAUUUGAUAAAUAAUAUGAAGCUCUAUUAUUAUAUUUUUGCACAGUUUUCCUUUAGGUGGUGGUGACACAGGCAGACUGGAGCAGUGGGUGGUGAACAUGAGACAGAAGGACUGGAGACCUACACCAUCAUCUCGUCUUUGCAGUGUUUAUUUUGAAGAGCAUGACUUCAGCAUGGACUCAAAGGUUAGAAAAUGAAUUACAUAAACAAGUGACUUGUAUUUUCAUUGCUGUCAACAUCAUGUUUGUGGAUACAUGAAUGUGAUUUUGGGAAAUGAUUUAUUUCUUACUGUCUGUGGGGAAAUUGUUACCUAAAGACCACAGCUGUCCCUACUCUGUUUCCAAGUCAUCAUUUGAGGACUUCUGUUGCAAAACGCAGGAUUUUGGAUAGUUGUGACACCAAGGUGACCGUGAUGCAGCCAGACUGAAGCAGCACGUUGUGAAGGUGGACGCCAUCAUCUUGUCUUUGCAGCGCUGAUUCUGAAGAGAACGCCUUCACAUAGGACUCAAAGGAAAUCAAUGCCCAAAGGAAACAGCAGUCCAGACUCUGAUUCCAGCUCCGGUGAGGUUCUGCACACAAAUUGGCUGUCUGAUUCGUUUAAUGGCACAAGAAUCCAACUGACUGCAGUUUCUGGUCACACUGCUGAAAUCAUGUCUCACUGUUUAAGUUUCACAGUUGUACUGUGAGUAUCUGUAACUUAAGAAAUCAACAGGAGACAUAUGUCGUGAUUAUAUGAAAAUAUUUAACAUUAAUUUAAUUUAUCAGGCUGGCCCAUGUGAUGACAGUUUAAAAUAAUCUUCAAUAGAAAGUGCCAGGAACGGGGCAUUGGUGGUGCAGUGGUUAGUGCACAUGCCCCAUGUAUGGAGGCUGUAGUCCUCAAACUGGACAGCCCAGGUUCAAAUCCAGCCUGUGGCUCCCUUCCCACAUGUCACUCCCCACUCUCUCUCUCUCUCUCUCCCUGAUUUCCAACUCUAUCCACUGUCCUAUCUCUCCAUUA